AUUGAACGCUGGCGGCGUGCUUAACACAUGCAAGUCGAUCGGUAACGCGGGGGCAACCCUGGCGACGAGAGGCGGACGGGUGAGGAACGCUUGGGAAUCUGCCUAUCAGCGGGGGACAACACGGGGCAACUCGUGCUACUACCGCAUACGCUCUACGGAGGAAAGCCGGGGACCGCAAGGCCUGGCACUGAUAGAUGAGCCCAAGUCGGAUUAGCUAGUUGGCGGGGUAACGGACCACCAAGGCGACGAUCCGUAGCUGGUCUGAGAGGACGAGCAGCCACACUGGGACUGAGACACGGCCCAGACUCCUACGGGAGGCAGCAGUGGGGAAUAUUGGACAAUGGGGGAAACCCUGAUCCAGCGACGCCGCGUGGGUGAAGAAGGCCUGCGGGUUGUAAAGCCCUUUCGGUAGGGACGAAAGCUCUCGACCUAACACGUCGGGAGGUUGACUUAACCUACAAAAGAAGCACCGGCUAACUCUGUGCCAGCAGCCGCAGUAA
rnacentral:rRNA from 1 species